rnacentral:rRNA from 1 species
GACGGGACCCGCACAAGCGGUGGAUGAUGUGGUUUAAUUCGAUGCAACGCGAAAACCUUACCCACCUUUGACAUGGCAGGAAUCCCGAAGAGAUUUGGGAGUGCUCGAAAGAGAACCUGCACACAGGUGCUGCAUGGCUGUCGUCAGCUCGUGUCGUGAGAUGUUGGGUUAAGUCCCGCAACGAGCGCAACCCUUGCCAUUAGUUGCUACGAAAGGGCACUCUAAUGGGACUGCCGGUGACAAACCGGAGGAAGGUGGGGAUGACGUCAAGUCCUCAUGGCCCUUAUAGGUGGGGCUACACACGUCAUACAAUGGCCGGUACAGAGGGUAGCCAACCCGCGAGGGGGAGCCAAUCCCACAAAGCCGGUCGUAGUCCGGAUCGCAGUCUGCAACUCGACUGCGUGAAGUCGGAAUCGCUAGUAAUCGCGGAUCAGCACGCUGCGGUGAAUACGUUCCCGGGCCUU